AUGUACCAAUCCAGUGGAUGCUUUAUUUGGAGAAGAGGAACAGUGGCAGCAACAAAUGCAGAGGAGAAUGUAGCAUUAGAGAAGAUUGAAGCUAAUACAGAGGAGAAUGAAGGAGCAAAGCAGAUUGUAGAUAAUUUAGAGGAGAAUGAAGCAACUGAAUUAGCACUGCUGGUAGCUUGCUCUAGGAAAAUUAGAGGAAAAGGCCAAGAGAGAAACAAUUUGAAGAAUAUGAAGCCAUGGCUUAUGAAGGUUUUGAACCUCGUCAACUGGCCAGUGCAAGUUCUCUGUCAGCACCUCGACAGCCACCACCCAAAGUGA
rnacentral:rRNA from 1 species